CUGGCUGGAGCAGCGAAGUGCCAGGGACCCACCGCCAUUAGGUUCCGGAGGCUCUGCGGCUGGGGGGAAGAUGGCGGUCGCGGGAUUUCACGUCCUGCCCCGCCAACUCCCAUUCUUUGCCCGUCUUUGCCCUCCCAGCUCCUGCUUCUCGACGCAGGCUCUUGCUGAUAACCCUUAAUGUGGUGUGGAGACAAACAUCAGUCUGUAUUAGAUUAAACCAAGAAAUUGCUGCAUUCAAGAAUUUUUGACCUACAAAAUGGCAAUUUCACACGACUCUACUUAAUAGAAAAAGAAGCAGAGGGAGUUUAAUAUGGAGAACUGAUCGCACAGGUGUUGAGAGGGCUGAAGGAACAAAAAGCGAUCAUCGAGGUCAUCAACGUAAUUACCGCUGGAAGUAGCAACUGCUCAGGGAUGAGGAAGCAAAGGGAAGCAGUCACACAUGAAAUAACUUACCCUGAAUGAAGAAGAGGAGGCUUCAGAUGUGAUGCUAAUUACCCUGACCUUCCAUGUUUGUAAGAUUUGUCAUCCAAUCACGAGGCGCAAGUGUUUUUCCUACUGCCCAGAUGCAAGGCCUAUGUGGCAAAGGAUUUGACAGUUGAAGAAGAGCUCGGGUUUGAAGUAGACAUCCACAUGUCCUUGAGGCAAUUAUGUCCAAUCCUCUGUGAAAGAA